rnacentral:rRNA from 1 species
GACGAACGCUGGCGGCGUGCUUAACACAUGCAAGUCGAACGGAGAUUCCCUACUUGCAUGGUUCUCGAGUGGCGAACGCUUGAGUAACACGUGGCUGCUCUCUCCCUUACUUUUGGAUAAUCCUUUGAAACUUCGUCUAAUACUUGCUAGCACCAUGCUGUAUGUGGUUUGGUGGUAAGAUUAGUUUCGGUAAGGGAUGAGCUCGAGUCCUAUCACCUUGUUGGUGGGGUAAUGUCCUACCACGGCGCCGACGGGUAGCCGGCCGGACAGGGUGGACGGCCACAUUGGGACGGAGAUACGGCCAAGACUACUACGGGAGGCAGUAGUGGGGAAUAUUGAACAAUGGGCGCAAGACGGAUGGAGAGACGCGGCGGGGGGGAUGAAGGCCUUCGGGUUGGAAAAUCCUUUAAGCCAUGGCGAAGCCCUUGUGGUGACGGUAGUGGUAGAAGAAGCACCGGCUAACUACGUG